UUCAUGCUACUGUCCGGAGGCACCUGAUUCAUUUGUUUAAGGGUGUUCUUAAGGGUGCACCUGAUUCAUUACCGGUAGUUGUUAUCCAAUUUGGAAAAAUUAGAUAUUUCAGGGGUGUACAUGGAUUUAAUACGCAGUGGUACAGCUUCUAUAUGCAUAACUUGGAGGAGCUUAACAAAUGUUGGAGUCCAUGGCUUCUUUCAUUGAAUGUCUGAUUUGGAAGGUAAGUGGAGAUCCGCAUGGAGCAACAACAGGU